AACCGGAGCUAACUGGAACACCCAUCGACCUGAACCUCACAGGGAGUUUAGGUGGAGGUUUUCUGCGCCUGUUCGUGAGAAGUACCUGUAUUAAAAAAGAUUUAAAUCGAUCUGUUUAAAUGUCACCAUGGCAGCCUGUGUGUCUCCAACAUCAGCUACACAAAGCAGCUAGUCCAUUUGGAUCAUUGGAGACAGCUAUGUGAGGCGUGGUGCCCAGAGAGCUGCAGAGACAACCUUGGCCUCCCUGACGUCUGUGUCUCCUGGUUCGGUUGGGGCGGACCAUCGACAUACAUACAUGUGCCGACACUUUGCGCCCUGUUUUAUAAAAUUUAGUGUUAAAAAUAAAUGUUUUUGCUCAA